GUUGUCAAAUUCAUUUCAAUCCAUGUGUGUUAGUGUGGGUUGAGGUGGAAUUUAGUUUAAAUUCCACUAUAAUCCACCUCAACACAUGUGGAUUGAUGUAAAUCCAACU
rfam:Sorghum bicolor cultivar BTx623 chromosome 9, whole genome shotgun sequence.